AUCUGUUCUUCUGAUUCCAGGCUCAGAAUAAGUGGGAAGACUCAGUGUGCCUGUGCCCUCUGCCAUUCACUUCAUCUAUCAAUGUUCUCUAAUUUCAGGAUUAAGCCUAUCGUAUGGCCCAGUCUCCCUGAUCAUAAGAAGACUCUGGAACAUCUUUGUAAGAAACCAAGAAAGAAUUUAAAUGUGAGUUUCAAUCCUGAAAGUUUCCUGGACUGCCAGAUUCAUAGGGUGGAUGACAUUCAAGCUAGAGAUGAAGUGGAAGGUUUUCUGCAAGAUAUGUUUCCUCAGCAACUAGAAGAAUCUGAGAAGCAGAGGCUUGGAGGGGAUGUGCAGAGCCCCAACUGCCCAUCUGAGGAUGUAGUCAUCACCCCAGAAAGUUUUGGAAGAGAUUCAUCCCUCACAUGCCUGGCUGGGAAUGUCAGUGCAUGUGAUGCCCCUAUUCUCUCCUCUUCCAGGUCCCUAGACUGCAGGGAGAAUGGCAAGAAUGGGCCUCAUGUGUACCAGGACCUCCUGCUUAGCCUUGGGACUACAAACAGCACCCUGCUCCCUCCAUUUUCUCUCCAAUCUGGAAUCCUGACAUUGAACCCAGUUGCUCAGGGUCAGCCAAUUCUUACUUCCCUGGGAUC
rnacentral:sRNA from 1 species